rnacentral:rRNA from 1 species
AGAGUUUGAUCAUGGCUCAGAACGAACGCUGGCGGCGUACUUAACACAUGCAAGUCGAACGAGAACGGGGACUUCGGUCCCUUAGUAAAGUGGCGAACGGGUGCGUAACACGUAAGUAAUCUGCCCCAGACUCUGGGAUAACGUUUCGAAAGAGGCGCUAAUACCGGAUAGCUUCUAGUGGCACAAGUCGCUGGAGGAAAGUUAGCUUGCUUUCGGUCUGGGAUGAGCUUGCGGCCCAUUAGCUAGUUGGUGGGGUUAAGGCUUACCAAGGCGACGAUGGGUAGCUGGUCUGAGAGGAUGAUCAGCCACACUGGCACUGAGACACGGGCCAGACUCCUACGGGAGGCAGCAGUGGGGAAUUUUGCGCAAUGGGCGAAAGCCUGACGCAGUAACGCCGCGUGAAGGAUGAAGGCCUUCGGGUCGUAAACUUCUGACUGGGGGGAAAGAUCAUGACGGUACCCCCAAAGAAAGCCCCGGCUAAUUCCGUGCCAGCAGCCGCGGUAAUACGGAAGGGGCAAGCGUUGUUCGGAAUCAUUGGGCGUAAAGGGCGUGUAGGCGGUCUCAUGUGUUCGCUGUGAAACAACACAGCUCAACUGUGUAGAGCGGCGAAAACUGUGGGACUUGAGGCUGGGAGGGGCUGGUGGAAUUCCCUGUGUAGCGGUGAAAUGCAGAGAUGGGGGAGAACACUCGUGGCGAAGGCGGCCAGCUGGACCAGUUCUGACGCUGAGACGCGAAAGCGUGGGGAGCAAACAGGAUUAGAUACCCUAGUAGUCC